rnacentral:rRNA from 1 species
UAGUCCACGCCGUAAACGAUGGAUACUAGCUGUAUGUCUACUUCAGGUAGAUGUGUGGCUAAGCGAAAGUGAUAAGUAUCCCACCUGGGGAGUACGAUCGCAAGAUUGAAACUCAAAGGAAUUGACGGGGGCCCGCACAAGCGGUGGAGCAUGUGGUUUAAUUCGAUGAUACGCGAGGAACCUUACCAGGGCUUAAAUGUAACGGGACAGGUCUAGAGAUAGACCCUUCUUCGGACUCAUUACAAGGUGCUGCAUGGUUGUCGUCAGCUCGUGCCGUGAGGUGUCAGGUUAAGUCCUAUAACGAGCGCAACCCCCAUCGUUAGUUGCCAACGAGUAAUGUCGGGAACUCUAACGAAACUGCCGGUGCAAACCGUGAGGAAGGUGGGGAUGACGUCAAAUCAUCACGGCCCUUACGUCCUGGGCUACACACGUGCUACAAUGGUAGUGACAGUGGGUUAAUCCCAAAAACUAUCUCAGUUCGGAUUGUCGUCUGCAACUCGACGGCA